rnacentral:rRNA from 1 species
GAUGAACGCUGGCGGCGUGCCUAAUACAUGCAAGUCGAGCGAACGGACGAGAAGCUUGCUUCUCUGAUGUUAGCGGCGGACGGGUGAGUAACACGUGGAUAACCUACCUAUAAGACUGGGAUAACUUCGGGAAACCGGAGCUAAUACCGGAUAAUAUUUUGAACCGCAUGGUUCAAAAGUGAAAGACGGUCUUGCUGUCACUUAUAGAUGGAUCCGCGCUGCAUUAGCUAGUUGGUAAGGUAACGGCUUACCAAGGCAACGAUGCAUAGCCGACCUGAGAGGGUGAUCGGCCACACUGGAACUGAGACACGGUCCAGACUCCUACGGGAGGCAGCAGUAGGGAAUCUUCCGCAAUGGGCGAAAGCCUGACGGAGCAACGCCGCGUGAGUGAUGAAGGUCUUCGGAUCGUAAAACUCUGUUAUUAGGGAAGAACAUAUGUGUAAGUAACUGUGCACAUCUUGACGGUACCUAAUCAGGAAGCCACGGCUAACUACGUGCCAGCAGCCGCGGUAAUACGUAGGUGGCAAGCGUUAUCCGGAAUUAUUGGGCGUAAAGCGCGCGUAGGCGGUUUUUUAAGUCUGAUGUGAAAGCCCACGGCUCAACCGUGGAGGGUCAUUGGAAACUGGAAAACUUGAGUGCAGAAGAGGAAAGUGGAAUUCCAUGUGUAGCGGUGAAAUGCGCAGAGAUAUGGAGGAACACCAGUGGCGAAGGCGACUUUCUGGUCUGUAACUGACGCUGAUGUGCGAAAGCGUGGGGAUCAAACAGGAUUAGAUACCCUGGUAGUCUACGCCGUAAACGAUGAGUGCUAAGUGUUAGGGGGUUUCCGCCCCUUAGUGCUGCAGCUAACGCAUUAAGCACUCCGCCUGGGGAGUACGACCGCAAGGUUGAAACUCAAAGGAAUUGACGGGGACCCGCACAAGCGGUGGAGCAUGUGGUUUAAUUCGAAGCAACGCGAAGAACCUUACCAAAUCUUGACAUCCUUUGACAACUCUAGAGAUAGAGCUUUCCCCUUCGGGGGACAAAGUGACAGGUGGUGCAUGGUUGUCGUCAGCUCGUGUCGUGAGAUGUUGGGUUAAGUCCCGCAACGAGCGCAACCCUUAAGCUUAGUUGCCAUCAUUAAGUUGGGCACUCUAAGUUGACUGCCGGUGACAAACCGGAGGAAGGUGGGGAUGACGUCAAAUCAUCAUGCCCCUUAUGAUUUGGGCUACACACGUGCUACAAUGGACAAUACAAAGGGCAGCGAAACCGCGAGGUCAAGCAAAUCCCAUAAAGUUGUUCUCAGUUCGGAUUGUAGUCUGCAACUCGACUACAUGAAGCUGGAAUCGCUAGUAAUCGUAGAUCAGCAUGCUACGGUGAAUACGUUCCCGGGUCU